rnacentral:lncRNA from 1 species
AACAAACAAAAGAUUACUCAGAACAAGGGAAAACUGAGGGUUAAUGGGAGAGGAAAAGGUUGAUAAACCCGAGGAAUUGAUAUUGAGGCCCUGACCAUUUCCAAUAAUUAUUUGAAUAGGUUCUUCAAAAGGUGCUACUUGCUGAAUGUUUUGUGACAUAUUGGUCACAUGGUGAGAAGCACCAGAAUCAGGAUACCAACUUUGAGAAGGUGUUGCAGCAGAACUAGUCAAAAAAAUUUGAAGAGAGUUGGUUGGUUGUUUUGGAGCUUGAAUAACAUAUGGUGGAGGUUGAAAGUAAGCAUACUGAACAAGUUGUGCAUAUUGAAUCUGCUGUGAAGGAAGAGCAGAAGAAGUCCAUUGAAUAAUGGAAGGGGGUAGAGGAAGAGUUGGCACAUAGUUCUCAUCAAGACGAUGAUAAC